rnacentral:rRNA from 1 species
AGGAUGAACGCUGGCGGUAUGCUUUACACAUGCAAGUCGAACGCAAGUUUUUAACUUGAGUGGCGGACGGGUGAGUAACACGUGAGAAUUCACCUUUAGGCGGGGAAUAACUAUGGGAAACGAUAGCUAAUGCCCCAUGUGCUCGUAAGAGUGAAAGGAGAAAUCCGCCCAAAGAGAAGCUCGCGGCUGAUUAGCUAGUUGGUAAGGUAAUGGCUUACCAAGGCGACGAUCAGUAGCUGGUUUGAGAGAACGACCAGCCACACUGGAACUGAGACACGGUCCAGACUCCUACGGGAGGCAGCAGUGGGGAAUUUUCCGCAAUGGGCGAAAGCCUGACGGAGCAAUACCGCGUGAGGGAUGACAGCCUUUGGGUUGUAAACCUCUUUUAUCAAGGAGGAAGUUCUGACGUGUACUUGAUGAAUAAGCAUCGGCUAACUCCGCGCCAGCAGCCGC